AAGUUUUUCUUGCUUAGCAGUCUCAUGGGAACGUUUCACAGCGACAAAUGGUCGCUCCUUAGUGACAGUUUUUGUUGUCGUGCUGAUUGUAUGAUAGUGACGUUCUGGCGAACUAAACUAUAUUUGGCAUUUUUACCUGUUCGAUGUGUGGUACGGAGUCUGUACAUGAAGCGGCCUUCUAAAAUCGACCUCAUCAAAAGCUGCUGUAUCGCUGGCAUAGCCAUCAUAUCGUGCAUUAUUUCUCAAUCUGUUGUUAAUAAAACAUAUAAUUUGAUUUUGAA